AUUGGUGCUGUGAUGAUACAAUUUGUGGACUAGAGUUUAUGAUCCGGGAAUCUUAACCUAGAAUCUGAUUAUCAAACCCUUGGUUGUCCGAGCACAUAG